AGUGAACGCUGGCGGUAGGCCUAACACAUGCAAGUCGAACGGCAGCACAGUAAGAGCUUGCUCUUACGGGUGGCGAGUGGCGGACGGGUGAGGAAUACAUCGGAAUCUACUUUUUCGUGGGGGAUAACGUAGGGAAACUUACGCUAAUACCGCAUACGACCUACGGGUGAAAGCAGGGGAUCUUCGGACCUUGCGCGAUUGAAUGAGCCGAUGUCGGAUUAGCUAGUUGGCGGGGUAAAGGCCCACCAAGGCGACGAUCCGUAGCUGGUCUGAGAGGGUGAUCAGCCACACUGGAACUGAGACACGGUCCAGACUCCUACGGGAGGCAGCAGUGGGGAAUAUUGGACAAUGGGCGCAAGCCUGAUCCAGCCAUACCGCGUGGGUGAAGAAGGCCUUCGGGUUGUAAAGCCCUUUUGUUGGGAAAGAAAAGCAGCGGGUUAAUACCCCGCUGUUCUGACGGUACCCAAAGAAUAAGCACCGGCUAACUUCGUG
rnacentral:rRNA from 1 species